GGAGGCAUAGUUCAGUAGCAGAACACUCCCCUGAUAAGGGAGAGGUGAAUGGUGCAAUCCCAUUUGUCUCCA
rnacentral:tRNA from 1 species